rnacentral:lncRNA from 1 species
AAAACCCAAGUUGAUAAACACUUGCGGAUCUGGACUGAUCUUUUUCACAGAACCAGAGCUGCACUCUCCACGCGUUCAUAGCCUGGCCAGCCCUGCCCCUGCAGUCUAGGAAUCCCCUCUCCUCAACUGCUCUGUGGCAGUGCGGGGAUGCCCUCUUCUGGAGCCAAUCUUCAAAGUGACCCAGGUGCCCACAUUCCAGAGCAGGUCUUUGGGGUGCUGGCCAUAGGACAGGGAGACAGGGUGGGUCUCAGGAAAUCGAAGAACAUGGCAGGAGGGGAGGAGUGCCCAGCUGCUGGAGGUCACCCUGGCGGUAUUUUAAUUCAUCCCGUCGUAUGGAAUCCCGCUGCGACCCGCGCACAGACCAAGAGUGCCACCGAAGAGAUGCUGCUGAAGGCCCAAUCCGAGAGCGCUGGUGCUAGAGCGGGGCUGUUUUCUGGAGAGUCCCACAGACUGCCACAUAGUUAUAGGCUUGUAGAAAAUGUGUAUUGAAGAAUAUCAGGGGACUCCUUCAGCCUGCUCUGGGAAUUCUACAGACGACUUAACAUGGAAGUAAAUUCACCUGUGACUGAUGCGAGAAACGGCCUUCAGGGAAGGAGCUAUAGCUUGAUGAUUUUAUUUUAAAGAAGACCCCUGAACACGUGAACCCUUCUGUUUUAAAUAUACAUGAAGAACAGUUGACUGUUUUUUUAAUUGAAACAAAUUUUAGAAAGAGAGACUCCCAUGUCAGCUUUCCCAGUGACGUCCUACGGCUGAGCUACUCCAACCUGACGGGGCAGAGUUGUCUUAUCUUCAGAAUUCACUAUGUGGCCCUGAAGGGGAGUUUAAAAUGUCUGAUAAUGUCUCCAUCAGCUGCCUAGUUUUCCAUGCUUUUCUCCCUUUUUAACAGGCCUCCAGUGUCAAACUGAUCCUGUCUCCUUGAUGGAUUAACCGGGGCUGGAGCCAAUCCAUGACCUUGCAUGUCUACUAAUACUGCAGUUGGUUGGAACAUAGGGGUGAAAUCCUGCCCCAGUGAAGUCAAUGGGAAUUUUGCCAUUGAUGUCAAUGGGGCCCAGAUAGAACUCACGAUAUUUAGACAGUGCCUGUGCUCUAAUGAUCAUUCAUUGAGCUAUGGUUUCCAAGUAUCCUCAACCCAUACCCUAAAAUUGCCCAGCAAAUGC